GGGUUUUACGGAAAGAACUUCACAGGCUGAUCUUAUUGCAGAUUCCUAGCUGGGCAGGUCUUGGGUGGUCACGCCCCAGGCACCUGACAUUUUCAGUAAAAGGCUUUUCUUUGCCAUAAGCAAGCCCCGUCUGUGUUUUUCUGUGUCUCAGGGAACAUACGUUUGACGCAAGCAAAACCGCCUUCUAGAAAGGCAUGAUCUUGUUUACUGCCCUGCAGUCCAACCCCCACCUUGCUUCCUCCCGCCUCCCCUCAUCUUCCUUAGGUUCCCUUCCCUUCAAGAUCUUUUGAGAUCUUGCUCCCUGCGUAGGUCGUCAGUUUUGGCUCCAGUAAACUGACAAGAAUUCUCUGCAGGUCCGAAGUUCUUACCUUGAGAGACCUAAAGAAUUAACCAGUGAAGAGGCGAGAAGUAAGGCGUGGAGAAAGAGAACAGAUCAAAGUUCUGCUAACAAAAGAGGGCUUGUCUGGUUGGAUUGACAGGGGGAAGUGAGGUGGGGGGGGGGCGGUGGAGAGAGGUAACCUGAGACCUAUAGGGCCUUGUCCCUCUAGCAGAGGAGCCUGCGCCCAAUCCUGUGGACAAUGGAAACAGGAUCUCAGCUGCGACAUGCCAUUCGCCUGGGCUCACCUGUUUUCUUCUGCCCGUGCGGCCCCUCCUUGCCAUCUCUGUUUGUUCAAUCCUACAGCCCUACUGAUCUUCCCUCCUGGCAGGCGGCACCCAUCCCGCCCCUGCCCCAACCCCCCGCACAGCCCCACCUGGAAAUAAUGACGGGGACGCAAGAAGGCCCUAGCAGAGUAGGUGCUGGGGAAGCAGCCAUGACCCUGCUGCCUGGGGUUGGACGUGCUCUGCACAGCGCCCAGCAGCUCCUCGUCGACGUCCCACAGUAAACAUCUCGGUUCCAGUCCUGCGGCGUGCCUCCCCCUGAAGUCUGGUAGCAAUCAUCUCAGGAAGCGAAUUCCUCUGUACCUGGGAACCAGGACAGCACAAUUAUCCCAAGACCUGAGGGUUCCAGAUAAUGUUUCCCUGUCAACUCAGUCGUCCCAAAAACCAGGACAGCGCAAUUACUCUAAAUUGCCUCGAUGGCUCUAAAUUUGUUCCUGGUAACUCAGUGGUCUCAAGACCCGAGGGCUCUAGAUAAUGUGUUCCUGUCAACUCAGUGAUCCGGAGACCCAAAACUAUAAUUAACAUGCUUAAUUCUGCUUCUGUAAACUGCUUUUUUUGCGAACCAGGUUCCUCAUUCCAAACCCUGGGAUGUAAUCAAUACCUUUGUGAUCUUUGCCUAUAAAUCUGGUGGCGGGCAUGGGAAGGGCACUGCGAUAUUUGGAGAGCGUGGCCCCCUCAGUCCCGGAUUGCAAUAAAUGUGACUCUUUAAUUCGGCUUCUUGAGGUGUCCUCCUGUGAUUCGCGGGGUGCAUUACAACACCUCACCGCCUCUUCUCUCUCAGCUUCAU